GAUGAACGCUGGCGGCGUGCCUAAUACAUGCAAGUCGAGCGAACAGACGAGGAGCUUGCUCCUCUGACGUUAGCGGCGGACGGGGGAGUAACACGUGGAUAACCUACCUAUAAGACUGGGAUAACUUCGGGAAACCGGAGCUAAUACCGGAUAAUAUAUUGAACCGCAUGGUUCAAUAGUGAAAGACGGUUUUGCUGUCACUUAUAGAUGGAUCCGCGCCGCAUUAGCUAGUUGGUAAGGUAACGGCUUACCAAGGCAACGAUGCGUAGCCGACCUGAGAGGGUGAUCGGCCACACUGGAACUGAGACACGGUCCAGACUCCUACGGGAGGCAGCAGUAGGGAAUCUUCCGCAAUGGGCGAAAGCCUGACGGAGCAACGCCGCGUGAGUGAUGAAGGUCUUCGGAUCGUAAAACUCUGUUAUUAGGGAAGAACAAAUGUGUAAGUAACUAUGCACGUCUUGACGGUACCGAAACAGAAAGCCACGGCUAACUACGUG
rnacentral:rRNA from 1 species